rnacentral:rRNA from 1 species
CCUACGGGAGGCAGCAGUGGGGAAUAUUGCACAAUGGGGGGAACCCUGAUGCAGCGACGCCGCGUGAGUGAAGAAGUAUUUCGGUAUGUAAAGCUCUAUCAGCCGGGAAGAAAAUGACGGUACCUGACUAAGAAGCCCCGGCUAACUACGUGCCAGCAGCCGCGGUAAUACGGAGGGGGCAAGCGUUAUCCGGAUUUACUGGGUGUAAAGGGAGCGUAGGCGGGAGGGCAAGUCGGAAGUGAAAUGCCGGGGCCCAACUGCAGGACUGCAUUGGAAACUGCCAGGUUAGAGUGCUGUAGAGGUAGGCGGAAUUCGUGGUGUAGCGGUGAAAUGCGUAGAUAUCAGGAAGAACACCGAUGGCGAAGGCGGCUUACUGGACAGUAACUGACGUUGAGGCUCGAAAGCGUGGGGAGCAAACAGGAUUAGAUACCCGGGUAGUC